GACAGAGGGUGCAAACGUUGUUCGGAAUUACUGGGCGUAAAGCGCGUGUAGGCUGCUCAGAAAGUCGGAUGUGAAAGCCCCGGGCUUAACCUAGGAAGUGCAUUCGAAACUUCUGAGCUUGAGUUCUGGAGAGGAAGGCGGAAUUCUCGGUGUAGAGGUGAAAUUCGUAGAUAUCUGGAGGAACACCGGUGGCGAAGGCGGCAUCCUGGACCAACACUGACGCUGAGGAGCGAAAGCCAGGGGAGCAAACGGG
rnacentral:rRNA from 1 species